GGAAAGUCUGACGGGGAGGGCAAGCACCAAGGGGAGAGCAAGCCCGAUUCCCAGGCAAAGUCAGCCAGCGAGGCGCGAGCUGCAGAAAAGCGCCCCGCUGAAGAUUAUGUGCCCCGGAAAGCAAAGCGAAAAACAGAUAGGGGGACAGAUGAUUCUCCCAAGAACUCCCAGGAGGACUUACAGGACAGGCAUGUGAGCAGUGAGGAGGCGAUGAGAGAGUGUGCAGAUAUGACAAGGGCUCAGGAAGAGCUGAGGAAGAGGCAGAAAAUGGGUGGUUUUCACUGGGUACCAAGAGAUGCACAGGAGGCUUUAGUCCCCAGGGGCCAACGGGGAGUCAGGGGGAUGAGGGGCGGCGGAGGCAGGAGCCAGAGGGGCCUCCAUGACAUCCCAUACCUUUAAUGCCUUUGGCCUUCAAUUCUGACCUCUCUGAGGAGAAAGAACACUGCUGGCCCUGCUUUCCCUGGUAACUACUUGCCGGGCCUGUGCUUUAUUUAACCUUCAGCCGAAACUCUGCUUUAGGUAUCACUGUCCUUACCAGCAGCCUUCUGACCCAACUACAGUGCUCUCUGUCUUUUAGUACAGGAUUUUCACCCAUGUGCAUGAAAAAUAUGUUCAUGGUACAUUGUAAAGUGAAUAAACAAAACAGUUUGCAGAACCACAAA
rnacentral:lncRNA from 1 species